rnacentral:lncRNA from 1 species
GCUCUUUGCAGCAGAUGGAGACUUGACAACAUCCUUCCCAUAGAGACCUUCUGUCCAAAAUACACUGGAAAGCAAAGCUGCUCAAACUAUGUCCAGAAUUCCAGAUUGCCUUCUCCUUUUGAGAGAUCUUCCUGAAACUCUCAAGAUGGCACAGAAAACUUUGAACAGAAGGUCUGGACUGAGCCUGAAACACUGCAACCCUAACAAUUUCACCAAUAACACUGAUCAGAGACCACAGUGUGAUUGAUGUGGGGCCAGUACAGAGGACACACUGAGGUCAGAAGGAAGCCCAGUUCAUGACUCUUGCACUUACUGGCUCAGGACAAUGCCUAGAGCAACUAAAUUCUGG